GUUUCCGUAGCACAACGGAUAGUGCAGCAGCCUUCUAAGCUGUGGAUGGUGGUUCGAUUCCACCCGGAAACACCA
rnacentral:tRNA from 1 species